GGACGGAAAAAGAAAACCGAACAAAAAGUAUCCGACUCAUUUCCGUAUUCUUCUCGGAUUUUCUUCUGCUUUUCUUUCAUCUUCUCCUUCUC
rnacentral:ribozyme from 1 species